UAAACAGUUUGAGGUGAAAAGCCAUGAAAAGAUUCAUGAGGAAUCACAGCAUUAUACUGUAUCUGUCCAUCUGUUCUGAUACUUAAAGGGAAGUCAAAAUGAAUAAUCUGAAUGCACAAAGAAAUCAAAUGAAUAUCAGAGCAAAUGGAAAAGGUGAUGAUAAAUGGAGCUGGAACUGGCCUCUGCUGAUUUCACUGUCUGGCUUCGCAUUGUACCAAUGGUUCCUGCAAAGGAGAAUAACAAAUGAAAUCGAUUGUUUGAGGAGAAGCAUUGAGAAAGACAGAAAGGAGGACAAAGCCAUGGUUGUGAUUCACGAGAUCCGCAGGUUGUUGUACACUAGACAAGAUAUCAUUUGCAGCAAUAUUCCAUAUUUUUUUCAGAAGACCAGAGAGCAAGAGUUAACCGACAUGGCCUCCAGUGACCCUAUAACACGUCAACUCAAUAUAAAAGCUGAUCUCCUCAAGAUCUUUCAGCAUCCUGAACCCUGCUCAAGAGCCCCAAUAAACACAUGUGUUGAAGACUGGCAGAGAAAACUUAAAGACUUACUUGAAAAUGAGCAAAAAUAGACUGACACACAGUUUUAUAAGGAUUAAUUUAGGGGAAAAUCAGAAUUUGUUUGACCGAGUGUGACACUACAGUUAUGUUUGUGUGUUGUGUUUUAAUGUCGGUUGUAUGUGAAUGUGUGAAUGUUCAGUGUGAUAUUCAAAAACAUCUGUCAGCGUUUAAUGUGUUUUGAAACUAAGCUGAACCAAUGAUUCUCACAGCGUAUUUCAUUAUAGUCAAGUUAUAUCAACUGUGUUAAUGCAGUUAGCAAAAAUAA